UAAUCUUUCGUCUCUGAAAUUCUCUCUAGAAACUUCAGUCGUCUCUCUUCUCCAAUGGCUUUCCUUGCCGUUCAGGCCACCUCUAGCCUCACUGCUCUCGAUCGCCACUCGCCAUAGUAUUGUAUCUCGUUGCUUUUCUCUCAAACUCGAAGCCCAAAAGCCUCCUCCAUGGAAGACAGUCGAUUGAAGCUCGACUGAGCCUUUAACCGGCCUUUCUUCGGUGGUUUUCACACGAUGAUGCUCUAUAUUGUGUUAGUGAUGAGUUUCACGGCCAUGUUUCGCCUUUCUUUAACUCGUUUGCAAACCCUAAUUUUCUACUCAAAAUCUCUUUAAUUUUUUGCGCUUUUAAAACGAUUUUCAGUUCGAUUCUUUAUUUUCUACUCAAAUUUUCACUCAAUCUCUGAUUAUCUUAAGUUUCUCCUCUUUUUCAAAGUUAGAGUUUAUGACCCUUUCGUUAAUCACUUUUCUACUUUCCUGGAGUAUUAGGUGUUUUUUGUGUUUGUCCGUAUUACAGGUGUUUGGUUUACUUGUUAAUAUGAGUUCCAUGCUAGGGUUCAGACCCUUUUUGUUUCCGUGUUUACCCGCUUAGGGUUCUCUCAAAUCCAUGUCUGUUAUGCUUUAUAGGCCUAAGUGUUCAUCGUUUGUGCAAUAUUCUGUGAAUCCUUGAUUGGUCUGUAAUUUUCCUUGGACGAUUUCAUUUUUUUUGUAUUAUUUCCUUACUUGGGCAUGCCUUCCUUACUUAGAAACAAUUCUCUCUGAUUUUUAGGUCUUUUCCGAGAUUCUUUGACUAAUUGGUAGAAUUAGCUCAUAUUUUCUUACUAUAUUUGUGCACAAACAGCUGUCUGAAUCUUUAGCCUAUAUUUUCCUUACCCAAGCUGCUAU
rnacentral:lncRNA from 1 species